rnacentral:rRNA from 1 species
ACGAACGCUGGCGGCAUGCCUAAUACAUGCAAGUCGAACGCUGAAGCACUCUGCUUGCAGAGUGCGGAUGAGUGGCGAACGGGUGAGUAACACGUGGGAAAUCUGCCUAGGAGUGGGGGAUAACAUUCGGAAACGGAUGCUAAUACCGCAUAUCUUUUUGAACCGCAUGGUUCUUAAACGAAAGACGGCUUCGGCUGUCGCUCUUAGAUGAUCCCGCGGCGUAUUAGUUAGUUGGUGGGGUAAAGGCCUACCAAGACCAUGAUACGUAGCCGACCUGAGAGGGUGAUCGGCCACACUGGGACUGAGACACGGCCCAGACUCCUACGGGAGGCAGCAGUAGGGAAUCUUCCACAAUGGGUGAAAACCUGAUGGAGCAAUGCCGCGUGAAUGAAGAAGGUCUUCGGAUCGUAAAGUUCUGUUAUUAGAGAAGAACAAGUCAAGGAGUAACUGUCUUGACUUUGACGGUACCUAACCAGAAAGUCACGGCUGACUACGUG